rnacentral:rRNA from 1 species
UACGUAGGGACCAAGCGUUGUUCGGAUUUACUGGGCGUAAAGGGCGCGUAGGCGGCAAUUCAAGUCAGCUGUGAAAUCUUCGGGCUUAACUCGGAACGGUCAGCUGAUACUGCUUUGCUAGAGUGCAGAAGGGGCAAUCGGAAUUCUUGAUGUAGCGGUGAAAUGCGUAGAUAUCAAGAGGAACACCUGAGGUGAAGACGGGUUGCUGGGCUGACACUGACGCUGAGGCGCGAAAGCGUGGGGAGCAAACAGG